rnacentral:miRNA from 8 species
GGUUGAUCAGAGAACAUACAUU